GAAAACAUUUACAUUAUUCUGUAUAUUCAAUGUUUGUGCAAGUCGAGUUACUCUGGUUUCUCUUCAAACCACGAAUAUAUCUUUCGCCUUUUACUAAAGAUAUCCGUGGAGAGGAACAAUUAAUGAGUCUAUAGACAAUUUCUCUACACCCACUUUACGUGGGUAACAUAAACAACAUUAAAUAUGCAGCUUGGUCCCCCCUUUUCCUCGCUAUUAAUUUUUUUUUUUUUAUCUCUC
rnacentral:lncRNA from 1 species